AUUGGACGCUGGCGGCAUGCUUUACACAUGCAAGUCGAACGGCAACGAGGAGAAGCUUGCUUCUCUGUCGGCGAGUGGCGAACGGGUGAGUAUAGCAUCGGAACGUGCCAAGUAGUGGGGGAUAACCAAACGAAAGUUUGGCUAAUACCGCGUAAGCUCCAAGGAGGAAAGUAGGGGACCUAAAUAAGGCCUUACGCUAUUUGAUCGGCCGAUGUCGGAUUAGCUAGUUGGUGGGGUAAUGGCUCACCAAGGCAAUGAUCCGUAGCGGGUCUGAGAGGACGAUCCGCCACACUGGGACUGAGACACGGCCCAGACUCCUACGGGAGGCAGCAGUGGGGAAUUUUGGACAAUGGGGGAAACCCUGAUCCAGCCAUGCCGCGUGUAUGAAGAAGGCCUUAGGGUUGUAAAGUACUUUUGUUAGGGAAGAAAAGCUAGUUUUUAAUAAAAAUUAGUGAUGACGGUACCUAAAGAAUAAGCACCGGCUAACUACGUG
rnacentral:rRNA from 1 species